CACGUAGGGCGCAAGCGUUGUCCGGAAUUAUUGGGCGUAAAGAGCUCGUAGGCGGACUGUCACGUCUGCUGUGAAAAGCUAGGGCUUAACCCUGGCCUUGCAGUGGAUACGGGCAGACUAGAGGUAGGUAGGGGAGAAUGGAAUUCCCGGUGUAGUGGUGAAAUGCGUAGAUAUCGGGAGGAACACCAGUGGCGAAGGCGACUACCUGGCCUGUUCUUGACGCUGAGGCGCGAAAGCUAGGGGAGCAAACGGG
rnacentral:rRNA from 1 species